rnacentral:rRNA from 1 species
GCGUAAGCGCGCGCAGGUGGUUUCUUAAGUCUGAUGUGAAAGCCCACGGCUCAACCGUGGAGGGUCAUUGGAAACUGGGAGACUUGAGUGCAGAAGAGGAAAGUGGAAUUCCAUGUGUAGCGGUGAAAUGCGUAGAGAUAUGGAGGAACACCAGUGGCGAAGGCGACUUUCUGGUCUGUAACUGACACUGAGGCGCGAAAGCGUGGGGAGCAAACAGGAUUAUAUACCCUGGUAGUCCACGCCGUAGACGAUGAGUGCUAAGUGUUACAGGGUUUCCGCCCUUCCCUGCUGAACUUAACGCA